GGCGAGUGAAGCGGCAACAGCUCAAAUUUGAAAUCUGGCCCUUUCAGGGCCCGAGUUGUAAUUUGGAGAAGAUGCUUCGGGUGUGGCCCCGGUCUAAGUUCCUUGGAACAGGACGUCACAGAGGGUGAGAAUCCCGUACGUGCCCGGUGGCCGCGCCCGUGUGAAGCUCUUUCGACGAGUCGAGUUGUUUGGGAAUGCAGCUCAAAAUGGGUGGUAAAUUUCAUCUAAAGCUAAAUAUUGGCCAGAGACCGAUAGCGCACAAGUAGAGUGAUCGAAAGAUGAAAAGCACUUUGGAAAGAGAGUUAAACAGUACGUGAAAUUGUUGAAAGGGAAGCGCUUGCAACCAGACUUGCGCGCGGCCGAUCAUCCGGUGUUCGCACCGGUGCACUCGACCGCGCGCAGGCCAGCAUCGGUUUGGGUGGCUGGAGAAAGGCCUCGGGAAUGUGGCUCCCUCCGGGGAGUGUUAUAGCCCGAGGCGCAAUGCAGCCUAUCCGGACCGAGGACCGCGCUUCGGCUAGGAUGC
rnacentral:rRNA from 1 species